UAGAGUUUGAUCCUGGCUCAGGACGAACGCUGGCGGCGUGCCUAACACAUGCAAGUCGAGCGAUGAAACCCUUCGGGGUGGAUUAGCGGCGGACGGGUGAGUAACACGUGGGUAACCUGCCUCAAAGAGGGGGAUAGCCUCCCGAAAGGGAGAUUAAUACCGCAUAAUAUUAGAUCUUCGCAUGGAGAACUAAUUAAAGGAGUAAUCCGCUUUGAGAUGGACCCGCGGCGCAUUAGCUAGUUGGUGAGGUAAAGGCUCACCAAGGCGACGAUGCGUAGCCGACCUGAGAGGGUGAUCGGCCACAUUGGAACUGAGAUACGGUCCAGACUCCUACGGGAGGCAGCAGUGGGGAAUAUUGCACAAUGGGCGAAAGCCUGAUGCAGCAACGCCGCGUGAGUGAUGAAGGCCUUCGGGUUGUAAAGCUCUGUCUUUGGGGACGAUAAUGACGGUACCCAAGGAGGAAGCCACGGCUAACUACGUGCCAGCAGCCGCGGUAAUA
rnacentral:rRNA from 1 species